UCUGCUCAGAUUUUGUCUCUCUAAAUUUUUCAAACCCAAUUUUCGAUGCCCGAUCAUCGUGUCUUUUGUCAUCUCUUACCGAUUAUCAGUGUCAGAAACUUUUAAAAUUCACUCGAAUCUUUCUUUUAACAUCCUUUUUGUUUCUAUGGAAUUAGAUUUUUACAAAACCCUAAAAAACUCAAGAAUCCAUCUUCAAACCCAAACCAAAAAUUUCAAAUCUAGGGCCACUGUUGCUGCGUUGGCCACCAAACUUUCACCAUGCCUCUUCUUGAUUUUUACUAUUCGGAAUCCUCAAAAUCCCCAAAGAAAUCUUAAACUUAAACCCUAGGAGAGAGAAAAUCCUUUUUCUCUCCUUUUUGUGCCACUUUUUUGUCUUGUUUACUUGAUUUUUGUGUAUUUUUUCUAUUUGAGUUAAUUUACAUUUUUGGCUAGUUUUUUAAGUCCUAUUCUAGUAUGUAUUUUUGUGCUUAUUCAUUUAUACUAAUCUUGAUCCUAUGUUAUAUGGCUAGUGAAAACACGGAAGCUUGUUCUUCGGACUAAAGUCAAUGUCUAGCAUUACUGGGAAUUGGUAGGCUAAUAUAAUAGAAUUUUCAGCAAAGGUUUAAAAUGAAAAAAAUAGUUUUUUUAACGAGAUGAUAAGUGCUAGUUGGCAAUUUAAUUGGUAUUUAAUUAUACUUAUGUGGCAAUGAAUUAAGUUAAUGUAUUUGGCACUUAAAUGAAUAGUGAAAUUUUUGAUUUGGCAACAAAUUGAGAUUUGAGGACAACUUUAACAUAUAGGUAUAGAUAUUGGUGGAAGGACAAAAAUAACAAUAAAAACAACCCUUGAUUUUUUAUGGUAGAUAUGGAAAGAACACUAAACUAUGAUAUUGCCUUUAAUGAUUAAACCUGACUUAACCCAAAAAGUAAGUUUUUAUGUCAAGUUACAAUUAAUUGUAAUUGAAAAAAUUAUAAAAUUUUUAUUCUCAAUAGUAAGUUAGAGUAAUUGGGAAUCAUAUAAAUCAUCUGUGUAUUAUAUAGAAAUGGAUGGUUAGGAUUAAAUAAUUGUAGAA
rnacentral:lncRNA from 1 species